AAACGAUUGAAGCCAGUCAUGCCGGUGGGAAAUCAGCUCAUAGGCUACUGUGAGUGCACUUUCUCGCAAGGCAGGUUAACAUCGGUUUCAGUUGCGUUAUAAUGAUAGUGGGAAGGUAGCUCCCUCGGGAGUGUUAUAGCCUGCUAUAGAUGGCGUGAUAGAGAUCGAGGAUUGCAGCGAAUGCCUUUAGGCUACGGGUCUGGUCUCUGUCGAACCUCAUCUCGUUGUCAGCGUGCUGACAACGAGAUGCGGUUCGACAAUAGGUUCAGAACUCGAUAAAUUCGCUAAGGAUGUUGACGUAAUGGCUUUAAACGA
rnacentral:rRNA from 1 species